CGGCCUGCCCUCUCUAUGUUUGGUGGAGCAGGUAGAGGUAACCCGGGCCGGAAGGCGGGACCAGGUUACCCUAGAGGUAUCCUGGCUCAGGAUGAACGCUGGCGGCGUGCCUAAUACAUGCAAGUCGAGCGAACAGAUAAGGAGCUUGCUCCUUUGACGUUAGCGGCGGACGGGUGAGUAACACGUGGAUAACCUACCUAUAAGACUGGGAUAACUUCGGGAAACCGGAGCUAAUACCGGAUAACAUAUUGAACCGCAUGGUUCAAUAGUGAAAGGCGGCUUUGCUGUCACUUAUAGAUGGAUCCGCGCCGUAUUAGCUAGUUGGUAAGGUAACGGCUUACCAAGGCAACGAUACGUAGCCGACCUGAGAGGGUGAUCGGCCACACUGGAACUGAGACACGGUCCAGACUCCUACGGGAGGCAGCAGUAGGGAAUCUUCCGCAAUGGGCGAAAGCCUGACGGAGCAACGCCGCGUGAGUGAUGAAGGUCUUCGGAUCGUAAAACUCUGUUAUCAGGGAAGAACAAAUGUGUAAGUAACUGUGCACAUCUUGACGGUACCUGAUCAGAAAGCCACGGCUAACUACGUGCCAGCAGCCGCGGUAAUACGUAGGUGGCAAGCGUUAUCCGGAAUUAUUGGGCGUAAAGCGCGCGUAGGCGGUUUUUUAAGUCUGAUGUGAAAGCCCACGGCUCAACCGUGGAGGGUCAUUGGAAACUGGAAAACUUGAGUGCAGAAGAGGAAAGUGGAAUUCCAUGUGUAGCGGUGAAAUGCGCAGAGAUAUGGAGGAACACCAGUGGCGAAGGCGACUUUCGGUCUGUAACGACGCAUGUGGAAAGGUACACU
rnacentral:rRNA from 1 species